rnacentral:rRNA from 1 species
CCCUUAGAUGUUCUGGGCCGCACACGCGCUACACUGGCAGGUUCAUCGAGCUUCACGCCCUGAUCUGAGAAGAACGGGAAAUCUUUGAACACCUGCCGUGCUUGGGAUAGAUGUUUGCAAUUAUUCAUCUUCAACGAGGAUUGCCUUGUAAGCGCACGUCAUCAGCGUGCAUUGAAUACGACCCUGUAUUCUGUACACACCGCCCGUCGCUCCUACCGAUUGAAGUUUUCGGUGAAUUUACUGGAGAUCCCUUUUGAAGGUGGUUCGCCACUGGAAGAAGUAUUCAAAAGUAAAUGAAUCGAAUGCUUUAGAGGAAGGAGAAGUCGUAACA